CGGGACCGACGCACUGCCGGAAUUAUCGGGGGGUUUUUUCGCGCUCAAUUGUCGUUAGGUAGGCCAUAUGGCAUGCCUCAAACGUGGCUUAUAUGCUUUUAGGCGUUGUAAGCUAACGGAUGCGAUCAUACCAACUCACAUGCACCGGAUCCCAUCAGAACUCCGAAGUUAAGCGAGUUUGGGCGAGAGUAGUACUAGGAUGGGUGACCUCCUGGGAAGUCCUCGUGUUGCAUCCCCUCUUUUUGUCUUUUUGACGUUUCAAUUGUCGUGGGCGUUUGCUUUCCGUCGUCUUAUUCAUCUGGCUGUCUCUGUUUUUCCACGACCCCGUGACGCAGCGUGGCAAUCGGGGGUAAAGUACGCUUAAACACUCGUCGAAACCCCGCAAAGGAAUCAAAAUACGAAAAUGACAAAGUUUCCCAAAACUGAAUUUCGCCCCAGCAAACGGCGUCGGAUGCCCGAAAAAGCCCGUCGGUCAUGGCAGCGCAAUGAGUUUUACUCGUGACGCCGUUCUCUUCAAAUCGACUGCUCGCGGGCCUAAUUCUGAGGUCGGAGCCCAGAUAUGCGGUUUACCCGAUACGCGCGUCGCUCCAGCUCCUCUUCAACUGCUUCCGACGUCACCCCGAGGAGCCCGUCUCCAAUUAACUAGGUGCCGGAAAAGAGCGGGACCGACGCACUGCCGGAAUUAUCGGGGGGUUUUUUCGCGCUCAAUUGUCGUUAGGUAGGCCAUAUGGCAUGGCUCAAACGUGGCUUAUAUGCUUUUAGGCGUUGUAAGCUAACGGAUGCGAUCAUACCAACUCACAUGCACCGGAUCCCAUCAGAACUCCGAAGUUAAGCGAGUUUGGGCGAGAGUAGUACUAGGAUGGGUGACCUCCUGGGAAGUCCUCGUGUUGCAUCCCCUCUUUUUGUCUUUUUGACGUUUCAAUUGUCGUGGGCGUUUGCUUUCCGUCGUCUUAUUCAUCUGGCUGUCUCUGUUUUUCCACGACCCCGUGACGCAGCGUGGCAAUCGGGGGUAAAGUACGCUUAAACACUCGUCGAAACCCCGCAAAGGAAUCAAAAUACGAAAAUGACAAAGUUUCCCAAAACUGAAUUUCGCCCCAGCAAACGGCGUCGGAUGCCCGAAAAAGCCCGUCGGUCAUGGCAGCGCGAUGAGUUUUACUCGUGACGCCGUUCUCUUCAAAUCGACUGCUCGUGGGCCUAAUUCUGAGGUCGGAGCCCAGAUAUGCGGUUUACCCGAUACGCGCGUCGCUCCAGCUCCUCUUCAACUGCUUCCGACGUCACCCCGAGGAGCCCGUCUCCAAUUAACUAGGUGCCGGAAAAGAGCGGGACCGACGCACUGCCGGAAUUAUCGGGGGGUUUUUUCGCGCUCAAUUGUCGUUAGGUAGGCCAUAUGGCAUGGCUCAAACGUGGCUUAUAUGCUUUUAGGCGUUGUAAGCUAACGGAUGCGAUCAUACCAACUCACAUGCACCGGAUCCCAUCAGAACUCCGAAGUUAAGCGAGUUUGGGCGAGAGUAGUACUUGGAUGGGUGACCUCCUGGGAAGUCCUCGUGUUGCAUCCCCUCUUUUUGUCUUUUUGACGUUUCAAUUGUCGUGGGCGUUUGCUUUCCGUCGUCUUAUUCAUCUGGCUGUCUCUGUUUUUCCACGACCCCGUGACGCAGCGUGGCAAUCGGGGGUAAAGUACGCUUAAACACUCGUCGAAAGCCCGCAAAGGAAUCAAAAUACGAAAAUGACAAAGUUUCCCAAAACUGAAUUUCGCCCCAGCAAACGGCGUCGGAUGCCCGAAAAAGCCCGUCGGUCAUGGCAGCGCAAUGAGUUUUGCUCGUGACGCCGUUCUCUUCAAAUCGACUGCUCGCGGGCCUAAUUCUGAGGUCGGAGCCCAGAUAUGCGGUUUACCCGAUACGCGCGUCGCUCCAGCUCCUCUUCAACUGCUUCCGACGUCACCCCGAGGAGCCCGUCUCCAAUUAACUAGGUGCCGGAAAAGAGCGGGACCGACGCACUGCCGGAAUUAUCGGGGGGUUUUUUCGCGCUCAAUUGUCGUUAGGUAGGCCAUAUGGCAUGGCUCAAAGGUGACCUCCUGGGAAGUCCUCGUGUUGCAUCCCCUCUUUUUGUCUUUUUGACGUUUCAAUUGUCGUGGGCGUUUGCUUUCCGUCGUCUUAUUCAUCUGGCUGUCUCUGUUUUUCCACGACCCCGUGACGCAGCGUGGCAAUCGGGGGUAAAGUACGCUUAAACACUCGUCGAAACCCCGCAAAGGAAUCAAAAUACGAAAAUGACAAAGUUUCCCAAAACUGAAUUUCGCCCCAGCAAACGGCGUCGGAUGCCCGAAAAAGCCCGUCGGUCAUGGCAGCGCAAUGAGUUUUACUCGUGACGCCGUUCUCUUCAAAUCGACUGCUCGUGGGCCUAAUUCUGAGGUCGGAGCCCAGAUAUGCGGUUUACCCGAUACGCGCGUCGCUCCAGCUCCUCUUCAACUGCUUCCGACGUCACCCCGAGGAGCCCGUCUCCAAUUAACUAGGUGCCGGAAAAGAGCGGGACCGACGCACUGCCGGAAUUAUCGGGGGGUUUUUUCGCGCUCAAUUGUCGUUAGGUAGGCCAUAUGGCAUGGCUCAAACGUGGCUUAUAUGCUUUUAGGCGUUGUAAGCUAACGGAUGCGAUCAUACCAACUCACAUGCACCGGAUCCCAUCAGAACUCCGAAGUUAAGCGAGUUUGGGCGAGAGUAGUACUAGGAUGGGUGACCUCCUGGGAAGUCCUCGUGUUGCAUCCCCUCUUUUUGUCUUUUUGACGUUUCAAUUGUCGUGGGCGUUUGCUUUCCGUCGUCUUAUUCAUCUGGCUGUCUCUGUUUUUCCACGACCCCGUGACGCAGCGUGGCAAUCGGGGGUAAAGUACGCUUAAACACUCGUCGAAACCCCGCAAAGGAAUCAAAAUACGAAAAUGACAAAGUUUCCCAAAACUGAAUUUCGCCCCAGCAAACGGCGUCGGAUGCCCGAAAAAGCCCGUCGGUCAUGGCAGCGCAAUGAGUGGGCCUAAUUCUGAGGUCGGAGCCCAGAUAUGCGGUUUACCCGAUACGCGCGUCGCUCCAGCUCCUCUUCAACUGCUUCCGACGUCACCCCGAGGAGCCCGUCUCCAAUUAACUAGGUGCCGGAAAAGAGCGGGACCGACGCACUGCCGGAAUUAUCGGGGGGUUUUUUCGCGCUCAAUUGUCGUUAGGUAGGCCAUAUGGCAUGGCUCAAACGUGGCUUAUAUGCUUUUAGGCGUUGUAAGCUAACGGAUGCGAUCAUACCAACUCACAUGCACCGGAUCCCAUCAGAACUCCGAAGUUAAGCGAGUUUGGGCGAGAGUAGUACUAGGAUGGGUGACCUCCUGGGAAGUCCUCGUGUUGCAUCCCCUCUUUUUGUCUUUUUGACGUUUCAAUUGUCGUGGGCGUUUGCUUUCCGUCGUCUUAUUCAUCUGGCUGUCUCUGUUUUUCCACGACCCCGUGACGCAGCGUGGCAAUCGGGGGUAAAGUACGCUUAAACACUCGUCGAAACCCCGCAAAGGAAUCAAAAUACGAAAAUGACAAAGUUUUCCAAAACUGAAUUUCGCCCCAGCAAACGGCGUCGGAUGCCCGAAAAAGCCCGUCGGUCAUGGCAGCGCAAUGAGUUUUACUCGUGACGCCGUUCUCUUCAAAUCGACUGCUCGCGGGCCUAAUUCUGAGGUCGGAGCCCAGAUAUGCGGUUUACCCGAUACGCGCGUCGCUCCAGCUCCUCUUCAACUGCUUCCGACGUCACCCCGAGGAGCCCGUCUCCAAUUAACUAGGUGCCGGAAAAGAGCGGGACCGACGCACUGCCGGAAUUAUCGGGGGGUUUUUUCGCGCUCAAUUGUCGUUAGGUAGGCCAUAUGGCAUGGCUCAAACGUGGCUUAUAUGCUUUUAGGCGUUGUAAGCUAACGGAUGCGAUCAUACCAACUCACAUGCACCGGAUCCCAUCAGAACUCCGAAGUUGAGCGAGUUUGGGCGAGAGUAGUACUAGGAUGGGUGACCUCCUGGGAAGUCCUCGUGUUGCAUCCCCUCUUUUUGUCUUUUUGACGUUUCAAUUGUCGUGGGCGUUUGCUUUCUGUCGUCUUAUUCAUCUGGCUGUCUCUGUUUUUCCACGACCCCGUGACGCAGCGUGGCAAUCGGGGGUAAAGUACGCUUAAACACUCGUCGAAACCCCGCAAAGGAAUCAAAAUACGAAAAUGACAAAGUUUCCCAAAACUGAAUUUCGCCCCAGCAAACGGCGUCGGAUGCCCGAAAAAGCCCGUCGGUCAUGGCAGCGCAAUGAGUUUUACUCGUGACGCCGUUCUCUUCAAAUCGACUGCUCGUGGGCCUAAUUCUGAGGUCGGAGCCCAGAUAUGCGGUUUACCCGAUACGCGCGUCGCUCCAGCUCCUCUUCAACUGCUUCCGACGUCACCCCGAGGAGCCCGUCUCCAAUUAACUAGGUGCCGGAAAAGAGCGGGACCGACGCACUGCCGGAAUUAUCGGGGGGUUUUUUCGCGCUCAAUUGUCGUUAGGUAGGCCAUAUGGCAUGGCUCAAAACGUGGCUUAUAUGCUUUUAGGCGUUGUAAGCUAACGGAUGCGAUCAUACCAAAUCACAUGCACCGGAUCCCAUCAGAACUCCGAAGUUAAGCGAGUUUGGGCGAGAGUAGUACUAGGAUGGGUGACCUCCUGGGAAGUCCUCGUGUUGCAUCCCCUCUUUUUGCCUUUUUGACGUUUCAAUUGUCGUGGGCGUUUGCUUUCCGUCGUCUUAUUCAUCUGGCUGUCUCUGUUUUUCCACGACCCCGUGACGCAGCGUGGCAAUCGGGGGUAAAGUACGCUUAAACACUCGUCGAAACCCCGCAAAGGAAUCAAAAUACGAAAAUGACAAAGUUUCCCAAAACUGAAUUUCGCCCCAGCAAACGGCGUCGGAUGCCCGAAAAAGCCCGUCGGUCAUGGCAGCGCAAUGAGUUUUACUCGUGACGC
rnacentral:lncRNA from 1 species